CUUGUCCCUCAAGUUAGUGGCGGACGGGUGAGUAACGCGUGAGUAACCUGCCUUUCUAGAGGGGAAGUAAACAUUCUGAAAAGGAAUGCUAAUACCGCAUAACAUCGUAGUAUCGCAUGGUACAGCGAUCAAAGGAGCAAUCCGCUGAAAGAUGGACUCGCGUCCGAUUAGCUAGUUGGCGGGAUAAAGGCCCACCAAGGCGACGAUCGGUAGCCGGACUGAGAGGUUGAUCGGCCACAUUGGGACUGAGACACGGCCCAGACUCC
rnacentral:rRNA from 1 species